rnacentral:rRNA from 1 species
CAGCAGCCGCGGUAAUACCAGCGCCCCGAGUAGUAUCCACGAAUAUUGGGCCUAGAGCGUUCGUAGCCGGUCAAGUUAGUCUUCUGUGAAAUGUUGGGGCUCAACCCCAACGCGUGCAGGAGAUACUGCUAGACUAGGGAACGGAGGAGGACAGGAGUACACCUGGGGUAGGGGUAAAAUCCGUUGAGCCUGGGUGGACUACCAGUGGCGAAGGCGCCUGUCUAAGACGUAUCCGACGGUGAGGGACGAAAGCUGGGGGAGCGAACGGGAUUAGAUACCCCGGUAGUCCCAGCUGUAAAUAAUGCAGACUUUGGUGUUUCAUAUGAGUAAUCAUAUGAAGUGCUGUAGCGUAGGUGUUAAGUCUGCCGCCUGGGGAGUACGGUCGCAAGACUUAAACUUAAAGGAAUUGGCGGGGGAGCACCACAAGCCGUGGAUGCUACGGUUUAAUUGGAUACAACGCCGGGAAUAUCACCAUGGACGACGGCAGGAUGAAGGUCAGAUUAAAGGUCUUGCCUGAUAAGCCGAGAGGUAUUGCAUGGCCAUCGUCAGCUCGUGGCGUGAACGCAUAACGAUUCCGUAUGGAAACGGAAUGCGGUGUAAACUGUCCGGUUAAGUCCGGCAACGAGCGAGACCCAUACCUUUAGUUGCUAAUUUCAUCUCCGGAUGAGAUGCACUCUAGAGGGACUGCCCGUGUUAAAUGGGAGGAAGGAGUGGGCGACGGUAGGUCAGUAUGGUCCGAAAUCCAUGGGCUACACGCGGCAUACAAUGGCUGGAACAAUGGGCUGCAACUUCGAAAGAAGACGCUAAUCCCCUAAAUCCAGUCGAAGUUCGGAUUGAGGGUUGCAACUCACCCUCAUGAAGCUGGAAUGGCUAGUAAUCGCGGGUCAACAUCCUGCGGUGAAUGUGUCCCUGCCCCUUGCACAC